rnacentral:lncRNA from 1 species
UAAAUUUAGUACAUAUAUUUAUAUAUUAUAUAUAAUAAACUUCGAGUAAGUUUCCUGUACUUUCGAAAGUACGGAGAUCUCCGUGCUUGUAAGUUAUUUUCAAUAAUAGAAAAUUCGAUUCGACGAUCGGCUCCAUUAAGUAUAAUCUACUCUAUUGAAACUAUUUAGAAACCAAAUUUUAUAAUUUUUUGAUAUCAUUUACCAAGCGAUCAAAAUGUCUCAAAAAUGACUAUUUUAACGGCCGACGUGGCAUGUUUUUAAGUUCAACGGUGUAGAAGUAUCCAAAUUAGAUGAAAAUUUAAUAGAAAAUUCUACUUAACAUCAAUAGUAAGAGCAAUACUUCCGAUUUGAAAUUUGAGUCCUUUAUCACUAUUUUUAAUAAAAUUUUUAUUUUCAGCCGUUCUUUUUGAGGCUACUCGUUUACUAGACAAACAAAGUCAAAAAAUUAUGAAAUUUGGUUUCUAUGUAGUUCUAUAACGUAGAUCAUGUCUAACAGAACCGAUCGCCGAGUCGGAUGUCCCAUUAUUGAAACAACUUACAAGUAUGGAGGCUUUCGUACUUUCGAAAGCAUAGGAGCCUAGCUCAUAAACUUCAUAUCAAAGCUUUUUACAAUGAAAAAUGCUACUUAUAUGUCUAUAUAUAAAUAUAAAUCUUUUUUUUUUUUUGAAAGACAGGUAGCACGCUUUCCGCUUCGUUUAUUUCAUUUAGACGUAAACUUAGCUAGAAAUAUGAAUCAACUAGGAUUCGAACUUGGGUCUCGGAUACCAACCACCAAUUCCUUUGCCACUUGCUCUAAGGACAAUCGGUAUAUAAAUAUAAAUCUUACACUAAGA